GAUGAACGCUAGCAGAACGCCUAACACAUGCAAGUCGAACGGAAUUCUUUGGGUAGCAAUACUUGAUGAAUUUAGUGGCAAACGGGCGAGUAACACGUACUUAACCUGCCCUGGAGACGAGAACAACUACGGAGACGUAGCUAAAUCUCGAUACGCUGUAAGAAAUGAAAAUACUUACAGGAAACUAUUUAUAGCUCUAGGAGGGGGUGCGGCCUACCAGGUAGUUGGCGGGGUAAUAGCCCACCAAGCCUAUGACGGGUAGCCGGUCUGAGAGGAUGUCCGGCCGCAAUGGAACUGAGACACGGUCCAUACCCCUACGGGGGGCAGCAGUAGGGAAUAUUGGUCAAUGGAGGCAACUCUGAACCAGCCAUGCCGCGUGCAGGAAGAAGGCCCCUCUGGGUUGUAAACUGCUUUUGACUAGGAACAAAUGACUCUUGCGAGAGUAGCUGAGUGUACUAGUAGAAUAAGCCACGGCUAACUACGUGCCAGCCG
rnacentral:rRNA from 1 species